rnacentral:rRNA from 1 species
UACGGAGGAUCCAAGCGUUAUCCGGAAUUACUGGGCGUAAAGAGUUGCGUAGGUGGCUUGUUAAGCAGACAGUGAAAUCGUGUGGCUCAACCAUACAUACAUUGUCUGAACUGACAUGGCUAGAGAGCGAGAGAGGUGGCUGGAAUUCCCAGUGUAGGAGUGAAAUCCGUAGAUAUUGGGAGGAACACCGAUGGCGUAGGCAGGCCACUGGCUCGUCUCUGACACUAAGGCACGAAAGCGUGGGGAGCGAACGGG